rnacentral:sRNA from 1 species
CUGGAGGAGGAUGGAGGGCUGGGCGGUGGAGGCGGGGCCUGGGGGCGCGCGGCGGCGCGGGCGCGGCGGGGGGCUGAGGCGGGCCCCAGCGGACUCCCGGGCUCCGGUGCUCGGGGCUCGGGGCUUGGGCGUCGCCAGCGAGCGCAUGCCCUUCCCUGAAGCGCGGCCUCUUGGCCUGGAGCUAGGACCAGUUAGGUAACGGCCCCGGGGGCCCGCAGUGGAGAGUGAGCGGGGCUUUCCUCGCCGGGCCAGCCCGGCGCGCUCGCCCCUGGCUGGGCAGGUUACUCACUAUAAACAGUAUCCACCCAACACAAGCAAAGUUUAUUCCUACUUUGAAUGCCGUGAAAAGAAGACAGAAAACUCCAAAUUAAGGAAGGUGAAAUAUGAGGAAACAGUAUUUUAUGGGUUGCAGUACAUUCUUAAUAAGUACUUAAAAGGUAAAGUAGUAACCAAAGAGAAAAUCCAGGAAGCCAAAGACGUCUACAAAGAACAUUUCCAAGAUGAUGUCUUUAAUGAAAAGGGAUGGAACUACAUUCUUGAGAAAUAUGAUGGGCAUCUUCCAAUAGAAAUAAAAGCUGUUCCUGAGGGUUUUGUCAUUCCUAGAGGAAAUGUUCUCUUCACGGUGGAGAACACGGAUCCAGAGUGUUACUGGCUUACAAAUUGGAUUGAGACUAUUCUUGUUCAGACCUGGUAUCCAAUCACAGUGGCCACAAAUUCUAGAGAGCAGAAGAAAAUAUUGGCCAAAUAUUUGUUAGAAACUUCUGGUAACUUAGAUGGUCUGGAAUACAAGUUACAUGAUUUUGGCUACAGAGGAGUCUCUUCCCAAGA